GCAAAUCUGGCAGACUUCUCUGACAACCAAUGGGUGACUUGUUUCCAGGAAUCAGCAGAACUUAUACUAGGAAAAUCAGCUGAUGAGUUAGGGGAUCUCAAAGAUACAAAUGAGGCUGCAUAUGACCAGGCAUUUCAAGAUGCAAUGUUCAAAUCGUAUAUCUUCCGAUUGCGAGCAAAGAUUGAAACAUAUAAUGAUGAAAGCAGACUAAAGACAAUAUGUGUUAACGCUACACCUGUAGACUGGACAGAACAAAGCAGGCGAUUGAUAGAAGAAAUUGAGAAGUUACAGGC